rnacentral:rRNA from 1 species
AUUGAACGCUGGCGGCAGGCCUAACACAUGCAAGUCGAGCGGAUGAAGGGAGCUUGCUCCUGGAUUCAGCGGCGGACGGGUGAGUAAUGCCUAGGAAUCUGCCUGUUAGUGGGGGAUAACGUCCGGAAACGGGCGCUAAUACCGCAUACGUCCUGAGGGAGAAAGGGGGGGAUCUUCGGACCUCACGCUAUCAGAUGAGCCUAGGUCGGAUUAGCUAGUUGGUGGGGUAAAGGCCUACCAAGGCGACGAUCCGUAACUGGUCUGAGAGGAUGAUCAGUCACACUGGAACUGAGACACGGUCCAGACUCCUACGGGAGGCAGCAGUGGGGAAUAUUGGACAAUGGGCGAAAGCCUGAUCCAGCCAUGCCGCGUGUGUGAAGAAGGUCUUCGGAUUGUAAAGCACUUUAAGUUGGGAGGAAGGGCAGUAAGUUAAUACCUUGCUGUUUUGACGUUACCAACAGAAUAAGCACCGGCUAACUUCGUG